rnacentral:misc_RNA from 1 species
UCCAAAUUGUGCAGCUUUUCUUAGGAUCAGUAGCUAAUCUAUGAGUAACAUGCGACAUUUUCCUUCUAUCAUCUCUUCUAUUUUAUUAUGUGAGGAAACUUUACAUAUUUUCAUAUGCUUUUUAAUUAAUUUAUUUAAUGACACCAAAAAAAUAAAAAUUCCUAGAAGAAAAAUCGUUCAUUUAGAACAAGAGAAAGACCGAAAAUAUAUGAUCCAUAUCCUUUUAUAUUCAAUCUUUGUGGGACAUUAUUGCACAUGAAGCAAAUGCAUUGACAAUGGUAAUUCAAUUAGUUAACAUCCACAAACUGGACCUUCUAUUUAAAGGCAUGUGAAACCAAGCAGCAAACCAGACCAGUAAUAGAAAAACUAGAAGCAACAAAUUAAUGAGUAUUUGAAAUAAAGUAAGAGUAUCAAAAUAUUCAACGUGCAUUG